rnacentral:rRNA from 1 species
UACAGAGUGGGCAAGCGUUGUUCGGAAUUACUGGGCGUAAAGGGCGCGUAGGCGGCCUUCUAAGUCGAACGUGAAAUCCCCGGGCUCAACCCGGGAACUGCGUCCGAUACUGGAAGGCUUGAAUCCGGGAGAGGGAUGCGGAAUUCCAGGUGUAGCGGUGAAAUGCGUAGAUAUCUGGAGGAACACCGGUGGCGAAGGCGGCAUCCUGGACCGGUAUUGACGCUGAGGCGCGAAAGCCAGGGGAGCGAACAGG